rnacentral:rRNA from 1 species
AUUGAACGCUGGCGGCAGGCCUAACACAUGCAAGUCGAACGAGUGGCGGACGGGUGAGUAAUGUCUGGGAAUCUGCCCGAUGGAGGGGGAUAACUACUGGAAACGGUUGCUAAUACCGCCCACCAUCAGAUGUGCCCAGAUGGGAUUAGCUAGUAGGUGGGGUAACGGCUCACCUAGGCGACGAUCCCUAGCUGGUCUGAGAGGAUGACCAGCCACACUGGAACUGAGACACGGUCCAGACUCCUACGGGAGGCAGCAGUGGGGAAUAUUGCACAAUGGGCGAAAGCCUGAUGCAGCCAUGCCGCGUGUGUGAAGAAGGCCUUCGGGUUGUAAAGCACUUUAAGCGGGGAGGCGUUACCAGCAGAAGAAGCACCGGCUAACUCCGUGCCAGCAGCCGCGGUAAUUC